UACGUAGGGGGGCUAGCGUUGUCCGGAAUCAUUGGGCGUAAAGCGCGUGUAGGCGGCCCGAUAAGUCCGCUGUGAAAGUCGGGGGCUCAACCCUCGAAAGCCGGUGGAUACUGUCAGGCUAGAGUACGGAAGAGGCGAGUGGAAUUCCUGGUGUAGCGGUGAAAUGCGCAGAUAUCAGGAGGAACACCCAUUGCGAAGGCAGCUCGCUGGGACGUUACUGACGCUGAGACGCGAAAGCGUGGGGAGCAAACAGGAUUAGAU
rnacentral:rRNA from 1 species